AUGCCACGGUGAAUACGUUCCCGGGCCUUGUACACACCGCCCGUCACACCAUGGGAGUGGGUUGCAAAAGAAGUAGGUAGCUUAACCUUCGGGAGGGCGCUUACCACUUUGUGAUUCAUGACUGGGGUGAAGUCGUAACAAGGUAACCGUAGGGGAACCUGCGGUUGGAUCACCUCCUUACCUUAAAGAAGCGUUCUUUGCAGUGCUCACACAGAUUGUCUGAUGAAAAUGAGC
rnacentral:rRNA from 1 species